CCGCGGUUGCUGGAGCUAAUGGCGGCCAUUAGAGUCCACCAGACGCGGCCGCAGUGCAUCCCAGAAGCGGCUCUCUGCUCCACAGAGAACAGAUAGCCAGUCUAUUUUUGCCACUAUUUUUCCAGUCGAUUUUGAUGCCAGGCUACGGACGCAUUAAAACCGUGGCGCAGCCGUAACGUGCCGGAGUCAGUGGAUUCCUCACCCCGGACUCACACAGGAUGCGUGUGAACCGCGGUUUAGUUGUGUCCUCUGAUCAGCGUCAACUUCCACUGGAAACCCCUCAGCAUUUCAGCAGCUGAGUGUGCAGCCUGCCCCACGUUAAUGUCUUGUUUUUUCGACAGUGGUUGUCCAUCACACAAGGCGGUGACUAGAACUGGAUUCUAUUGGCUCAGACGGUCCAGACACUUGCGCAUGCGCGAAGUGGGUCUGUGUCGUCGUCGUCGUGAAUUUGGAGGUAACAGCUCAAACGAGAUUUGGAAGAACACGAACUGAAAGUCUCUUUCAACGAUGUAUCACAAAAAAUGGAGACGACAAAAUGCACAAUUACGCGCAUUGGUGGAGUCUAGUGACUCAGAUGAGAAUCCAGGCCCCUCUUUUGCUGAUAGCCCAAAAGACAUACAGACACAGGAGCAGUCUGAUACAGGAGAAGACGAGUAUCGAGAUGAUCACCACCCGCCAGACAGUGAUGGUGAAAGUGAUUCAGAAAUUGGAACUUUGUCUGAGGAGGAAUCAAGUGAUCUAAGAAGUGAUUUGGCAAAAUGGGCUGUAAAAAAUAAGGCAACGCGCACAUCGGUUGAUGAGCUACUCUUGGUGUUACGUAAACAUGGCCACCGGCUGCCAAAAGAUGCCAGCACCCUGUUAGGAACUCCACCUCAAAUAGAAGUCAGGGAUCUAUGUGGUGGCCAGUUCCUCUACUUUGGUGUGGAGACGGGACUUUUGAAAAUGUGCUCACAGUAUCCCAAUUUCUUUUCAACAGAAAAUGAGAUGCUGCUAAAUUUCAGUGUAGAUGGUGUGAUCAUCCAACUUGCACGUUGAUAAAUACUAAUUUAUAUACUUGAAACAUUGGCAAUGCCACAAAAGACGCUGUCUUGAGCUCAUUUGCUACAACAAAUACAGAAGUAGACCAAUACAUAGCCAAAUACCUUAAAUAUGCACCAGAGAGGAUGGGUGGCGGUGGCAGAAAGUAACGAGGGAAGAUUUAAUGAACUAUCCCUUUAACCAGCCAUACAUGUUGCCUAAUGUUUGGGCCGUUUUUCUAAAGUUUAUAGUACGACGUGUAAAAUUGUUCUGUGAAAUGUUGGCACACUUGCAGCCAUGUAAUAAAGCACUUUUCUUACGCCA